rnacentral:rRNA from 1 species
AGCGAACGCUGGCGGCAGGCUUAACACAUGCAAGUCGAGUGGGUGUAGCAAUACAUCAGCGGCAGACGGGUGAGUAACGCGUGGGAACGUACCUUUUGGUUCGGAACAACCCAGGGAAACUUGGGCUAAUACCGGAUAAGCCCUUACGGGGAAAGAUUUAUCGCCGAAAGAUCGGCCCGCGUCUGAUUAGCUAGUUGGUGAGGUAAUGGCUCACCAAGGCGACGAUCAGUAGCUGGUCUGAGAGGAUGAUCAGCCACAUUGGGACUGAGACACGGCCCAAACUCCUACGGGAGGCAGCAGUGGGGAAUAUUGGACAAUGGGGGCAACCCUGAUCCAGCCAUGCCGCGUGAGUGAUGAAGGCCCUAGGGUUGUAAAGCUCUUUUGUGCGGGAAGAUAAUGACGGUACCGCAAGAAUAAGCCCCGGCUAACUUCGUGCCAGCAGCCGCAGUAACAC